AAAAAGCGGAGGAAAAGAAACCAACAGGGAUUGCCUUAGUAGCGGCGAGUGAAGCGGCAAUAGCUCAAAUUUGAAAUCUGGCACCUUCGGUGUCCGAGUUGUAAUUUGAAGAAGGUAUCUUUGGUUUUGGCUCUUGUCUAUGUUCCUUGGAACAGGACGUCACAGAGGGUGAGAAUCCCGUGCGAUGAGAUGCCCAAUUCCAUGUAAAGUUCCUUCGACGAGUCGAGUUGUUUGGGAAUGCAGCUCUAAGUGGGUGGUAAAUUCCAUCUAAAGCUAAAUAUUGGCGAGAGACCGAUAGCGAACAAGUACUGUGAAGGAAAGAUGAAAAGAACUUUGAAAAGAGAGUGAAAAAGUACGUGAAAUUGUUGAAAGGGAAGGGCUUGAGGUCAGACUUGGUUUUACCAGGCCAGCAUCAGUUUGGAUGGCAGGAUAAUAGCUUAGGAAUGUGGCACUGCUUCGGUAGUGUGUUAUAGCCUGGGUUGAUACUGCCUGUCUAGACUGAGGACUGCGUCUUGACUAGGAUGC
rnacentral:rRNA from 1 species